rnacentral:rRNA from 1 species
AGCGAACGCUGGCGGCAGGCCUAACACAUGCAAGUCGAACGAAGUCUUCGGACUUAGUGGCGGACGGGUGAGUAACACGUGGGAACGUACCUUUUGGUUCGGAACAGCUCAGGGAAACUUGAGCUAAUACCGGAUGAGCCCUUAGGGGGAAAGAUUUAUCGCCGAAAGAGCGGCCCGCGUUAGAUUAGCUAGUUGGUGAGGUAAAGGCUCACCAAGGUUACGAUCUAUAGCUGGUCUGAGAGGAUGAUCAGCCACACUGGGACUGAGACACGGCCCAGACUCCUACGGGAGGCAGCAGUGGGGAAUCUUGCGCAAUGGGCGAAAGCCUGACGCAGCCAUGCCGCGUGAAUGAUGAAGGUCUUAGGAUUGUAAAAUUCUUUUACCAGGGACGAUAAUGACGGUACCUGGAGAAAAAGCCCCGGCUAACUUCGUGCCAGCCGCCGCGGUAAGAC